UACGUAGGGUGCGAGCGUUAAUCGGAAUUACUGGGCGUAAAGCGUGCGCAGGCGGUCUGUUAAGACAGAUGUGAAAUCCCCGGGCUUAACCUGGGAACUGCAUUUGUGACUGGCAGGCUAGAGUAUGGCAGAGGGGGGUAGAAUUCCACGUGUAGCAGUGAAAUGCGUAGAGAUGUGGAGGAACACCGAUGGCGAAGGCAGCCCCCUGGGUCAAGACUGACGCUCAUGCACGAAAGCGUGGGGAGCAAACAGG
rnacentral:rRNA from 1 species